rnacentral:lncRNA from 1 species
AUUCAAAAAGGGUUUCCAGCUUGAAUAUAUAUAUAGAAGACGGCAGUUUUCUUGGAGCAAGGGAGGCUAAAAGAAAAGGAGUUGAGGGAGAUUGUACACGUAGAGAGAGCCGGCUAAGGGAAAACAUUGGAUUACCAAUACAAUUGGGUGGCUGAAUUUGAUAAAAAAAAAGGGGCUGGAAUUGCACAAGUUAAAGCAUUAAAGUUGAUGUGAGGAUUAUAAAAUCAAGCAUUAGCAGCCAAUUUGGGGAUUGAUUAUUGUACACGUAUAUAGGCGGCUGGAAUUGAUUUUAUAUACACAGAUAGUAGCCUCCUGGAGUUGAUAUAUACACACAUACACGCAGAGAGAAGCAGCCAAGAUUAUUAGAUUAGGCACAAAACAAAAGCCGAGUUGCUGGGAAUUGGACUACAAAAAAGUAGGCUGCUGUAGAAAUCAUAUAUAAAUGCCAACAGAAAACGGACGGUGGGGGGGGGGGGGGGGGGGGGGGGGGGACAGAAACUGAAGGAUAAAAAGCGGUAGCUUGUGGAGAAAAGUGGCAGAAACUGAAAGCGAUUUCGGCUGAUUUGGCGAGUUGUUUUGGAGUCAAAAAUUUCAGUUGGUUGCUGCAAAUAAAGUCAGCAGUUGGCUGGAGAAAAACAUAGAAGAAAAGCGCAAAAAAAUAUAUACAAAUUGGCGGCUGAUUACAUGAAUUAAUUUGGAACCGACGCAGAUUGAGGUGGCAGCUUUGGAAGGAAUUUGGAAAUCAUUCACGUUCCGUCAAUUACUCGGUGAUGUUGCUCCAACUUUAUUUAUUUAAUUCCUUGACGUUAAAUUCGCUUAAUUGUUUGGGUGUUUACUAUGGUUUAACUUGUUUUUCAAUUACUUGGCCAAUAAUUGAAUUGUUUGUGGAUUUUAUUGUCAUCGAGAGAGAUAAUAGGAUCUUUAGCUCCUAAUAAUAGACGACGUGAGAUUCGAUAGAUAAUAGAGAUAUACCUCGAUGCUUUACAUGGUUGUUAAAGAUGUUCUAGCUCGUUAAUAUUUUUUUAGACGUUCGUAUUUUUCAUAGAGAUAUAGUAAAAUCAAGUGUAGGAUUAGAUUUAAUUACUAUCGAAAUAGGCUUUUAAAUAAAAUAGGAACAUUGACCAACAAGCAUGAUUUCAAAUUGUCAGUUUAAAUUAUCGAACUAAAAUGGAGUAGCAAAGAGGAUUCCACAUCUUAGUAAUACUUCUCGCAAAUUUGAUAAACUUUUUCUUUGCUUUCUAUUUAAUUGAUAGAUUUAAUAAAGUUAGUUACAACUCGACCUUGCUAUUCGAAUAAGGGAAUUAUUAGCUUUAACUCGAUCAAACAUAUAGUCAUCGUGGGUUCGACACUUUACACACCACUUUAUUAUCUGUUUACGAUCUCGUUCACUUGUGGGUAAUCAAACGCAUAAGUGUUUCCUCAUAGGAGCAUCCACAAAUUUGAUCAAUUAUUCUUCUUGCUUUGUCAGCCGAUAGAGAUAUAUGUCGACCUAAAGCGUAUACUUAUGUUUUUUUUCUUUCGCAUAAGGUUUACCUUGUCGCGCGAAAUAGCAAUAGAGCUUUUCCAGACAUUUGUAAUUCGUGGCUGCCAUAGGAGCACCAAAUAAAAAAAAAAAAAAAAAAGUUAAUAAGGAAAAGGAGAAACUUCUAAAAACUUCAGCUUCAAAUAAUAUUUAGCAGCUGAAAAAAGACACUGCAUGAUUGAAAACUAUGUACAUUGAGAUAAAGACUAAAGUAACUUACGGAAAAUUAAAGUUAGGAUCCCCAUAGAUAUUGACAUUCGGAUACUACAACAAAGUUUACUCUUUAAGGUGUGCAAAGUUAUUUACGACGUAUAGGCUCAUGCCAUAGAAAGUCAUGCCGUAAAUACUAGCAUCCUUUUACGGCAUGCAAUGAAAAACAUGCCAUUAAUAUAUUUUUCACGGCGUGCACUUGCAUGCUAUAAAUACUCAACUCUUUUAUGGCGUGCACUUACAUGCCGUAAAUGUGAAUUUCAUUUGUUAAAAAUAUUUAUUUAUUUAUUUACCAACAAGCUUAUAAUAAUUAAUAAUUAAAAGGACUAUAUAUACUAACACAUAUAAUAUAAUCAUGUUUUGCAUAAUUUCAAUGAAUAAAAAUAUUAAGUGCUAUCAAAUACAAUAUUCAAAAAUGUAGAGAACAUCAUUAGCUUAGUCAAAAAGUCGAUAUCAAUAUACCAAAAGUAUCGAUUACAACUCCAAAAAUAACUUAUUAAAAUAGUACAAAAUAUUCGACCCAUAUUGAAGACAUCCCACAAUCAUGGUGAUCUUCUGUUGGCAAGCAAGCAUUUGGACCAGAUUUGUAGCUUGUAACAUGGUCAACGGAUACCGAAUUGCUACAUGCCAUAUGCUUUUUUUUAGUCUGUGAGACUGAAUAGUCCUGGAACCAAAAAUAAAGAGGAAAAGUAAUUAAUCAUGGUGUACCUUUAUGAAAUAAAUACCAAGUAACAAACAUCAAUUUCAUUUCACUUGGCCUGGUGUAUAUGGCUACUGAAAUUUAUGAGUAAGGUCCUCUUUGUUAUGGUUCUUGUCCAAAAUUUAAGAGUAAACAACAAAACAAGUAAAAUAAGAUAAAAAAAUUGCUAGAAGAGCAAACUAGACAUACCCAAGUCAUGGCUACUUGUGCUUUUGACUCCAUUACUUGUGCAACUUCUUGGACUUCAUGAACCAAUCCAAUUUCAAGUAAUGAAAGAAUAUGCAUCUACGUUAUUUAACUAACAGCAACUAAAAAGAAAAAUAAAAACCAGGACAAUGUGACUCAAAACCAUAGCCGAAGGUUAACCACAAGACAUCAUAGAUCAAUUUAUAAAGAAACUAGACUAGAUAAAUGGUGGCAACGAGAAUUAAUAUUCUUUAGUCACUAUCAUAAACAAAAGGUCCAUUUGUGAAAAUAACGAGACCAUAAAAUUCAUAAGAAUGAUAGCUAGCAAUUUAUAAAAUUAUAUUAACGACUACGAACUUAAAGGGGGAAUGAGAACCAAAAAGGCUAGUCUCAAAACCCAGUUACAGGAAAUUUGGAGCAGUGGUGAGAAGAGAUGUGUUUAGAGCCACAUUUUUCCUACCUCUUAGUAAAUGAAAAGAAUAUUUUGUAAUUAAGUUCAGAGACCAUAUAUACCAACAAGGCAUUUAUUUAAGAAUAAAAUUCCAAUCCAACAUUUUGGCUGCAACACAACUAGAAAAAAGUUUAGUCAAAAUGUGUGAAGAUCAUAGUAGACCUUGUUCUGAACCCGAUUGGUCUGAUACUUCCCUCCAACUUCAUUUGGUCCAUAGUUCAUUCCAUUGUAUGCCACUGCUAGAAAUGGUCAAUGAAUACAUUACCGUAAAGAAGCAAUUGAAAUUGAAAACGAAGCACGAACUUUCCAAAACAAUUUCCUAUAAACACCAUUGAAAUUGCAAAAACUAUGAAGCAUAAACAUCGAUGAAAUAACUCCAACAUAACAUGCAAAACUUCUGCAAAAAUUUAUAGGCUAAAAAAUCUAACAUGAGCAUAAAUUAAUGAAUUCACCAAUCUCUGCAAUUAUCUAUAAUUUAAGAUCAUCUCAUAUUCCCAUUUUAUGAAUGAGAAUAGUCCCUCCUUUAGCAAAAGGCAUUUUAUCUCCAAGCGUUUAAAACAAGUUAUACAAGUCAUACCCGAGACUUUCCAAAGUACAUUCCCAAUAGUUACUAUACCAUGCACAGAAUGAACUGGUGGUGCAGGAACUCUGCUUUCACCAGAUUUAAAUGAAAAAUCACUUCAAAAUAUAUAGAAUAGAGAUAAGAAUGAGAAUACAUAGGGAAAGCCACUAGAGUAGAAGAAAAGCCUAUCUAGUCUCACAAAGAUAAGAUUAUUCAAUUUUGUUGACUUAAACUUCCUAACAUCCCCCCAGGGAUAUUAGGAACUGAGGCUCAGGCGCUAUAGGUUUUGUGGUAGAUUAUUGAGAGUUCAAUUUUUUGUAAUGGCAAGGAGGAUGAGAGAUGGUGGCUUUUACCCACCAUCCUGCUAUUGUUCAAGACAAUUCAAGCUCGGUUUGUAGAUUGGCACAUAGCAAAUUUAGAAGUCUGAGAUUUGUCUCUCUUCAGUCCUGACCUCGAUACAUUUUGAGCCUACAAAUCUGUUUCUUGAUGCAAAAUUGUUUGCAGGAGGAAGUGGACUGGAUUUUUCAGCAUCUAUACAGUAAAUAGGGUCACCAUGUACACACAUCUCAGAGUAAAAUAGGAUCUUUAAUCAGAGUAAUGGAAUUGUUUUUACCAUGUACAUAUAUGUUCCCAUUUGAGCAUAGUUUAGAGAAAAUUAUAAUUGGGUGAUAAAUUUAAAGGUAGAUAGACAUGUUACAAGUUUGGUGACUGAAGCUUACUAUAGAUUCUAAUCAUUCCAAAUCAAUAAUGAAAUCGUAUUUUGGCACUAAAUGUUGUGAAAUAGCUACUCGUUGGCCACUGCCCAAUGCAUGCCCAAAUCAAUUCCCACCUACAUUCAAUCCCACAAAUCACAUAAACAUAAUACCCAGGCCCCAACAACUCAUUUUCAAAUAGAAACCCUCCUCAAGUUUUAACAAACAAAUAUAAUAUCAAACAUUCUGAAGCCGGAAUUAGAAUGUUAGGGUUCAUUGAAGCUUACGGGAAGUGGAGAGAUCCGAGCAAUGGUGAGAAAAAGAAAUAAAUUGAAAUCAAAUACUUCCAAUGGCGUCGGUGACUCACAGUGAUCGACAGAUUUUGAGUGAUUUCUCUGUAGUCGCGGGAUGAACUCUGCUGUUCGUGCUCUUUUCAAUUUUGAGGGAUUUAAGUUUAACUAUUUGGGCCGUUUCUGUAAAAGAUUGGCGGGCUUCGUAAAUUUUAAUUUUUUUACAUACACUACAAGCACUAAAAGCAUGCCGUAAAUUCUCAUUUAAUAUGGCGUGCAAAGGAUGUACGCCAUAAAUACUUUAAUUAAUUAAUCUUUUACGGCAUACAUAUAGCGCACGCCGUAAUUAGUCUAUUUUUACAACAUGCCAUAGAUGCACGCUGUAAAGGAAUGUCAUAAAAGGCUGUUUUUGUUGUAGUGGGAGCACUACCAUACUCCGACAAACAAAUUGAACGGGUAUCCUCACUAUCACAUUUUGCAACCUCAAUAGGGGACAUUUUCGUAUGACCAUAAACUACACAAUCAGGGGGUGGGUUUGGAUCGUGCAAUGCCACAUGCUACCAUGAGGUUAUCAUUUGAAGCAAAUUGAAAGUUGUUUAGCAAUACUACAAAUAAGUAUCGCAACAACAAUACUAGAUGUGCCCGUAAGAAUGGAAGCAGGCAAACAAAAAAGGCUAACCAAUUAGCAUUUGGAUCCCAAUUCUUGACAUAUAAAAUCAAUCCAGAAACUGAUGAAUUUCACCGAGAUCCUCAAAAUCAAUUUUCGGAUCUAGAUCUUUCUUCAACUGUUGAACUCCUAAAGCCAUCAUAGGGACCACAUUGUUGUACCUAACUUUGAUCAUCUUAAUCAUUUAGGUGAAUUCUAACUCAUCAUUCUUAGCCUUAAUAACUGGAAAGGAUCUAAGGUCACGGAAAGAAUUCAAAUACCAAUCUCUUACCUAGUAAGAGGACAAAUAAGAAAUCAACAUGUAUUUAAUCGUUAGUACAAUACAAUCUUUUCUCAAAAAAAUAGAAAAAAACAAUGAAACAUCAUGUAAUAGCUACCUCAACAUUGAGUAGAAUCAAGUACUUGGUCCAAUUGUGCAUCUAGAAUUCCCCACGCAUAAUUGUGCAAAUAAAUUAGACACGGUCAUACGAUAAAAAGAUGUAGAUGGAAGGUACACAUUGUACUUACCAACAAUGCACUGUCCAAUUCAUGCCAAAAGGGCAUAUAUCAUUUGAAAAUAAAAAACAUGCAAAUUAAAUUGAAGAACAUUCUUAUACAUAAAUCAUGAUUUGAAACUUCUCAUCCAUGACUAAACAAUUAAAUAUGAUCAAAACACAUUUAGAUAAACAAAAGGAUGCAUAAGCAGUCCGUUAAUCCACAUGGUCUGCUUUUAAUAUAAUUUCGCAACCGAAUCAGAAAACACGAUCAAAAACAUAAAUGGAUAAAAAGCACCCGUUUUAAAUUAAUCAAUCCGUAAUUCUCAAAAAUUAUCGAACAAGAUAAGAUGCGGAAAACAAAAUCCAAAUUAAAUAAAAAGGUAAUAUUGAAAACCCUGAAGGGAAAAUAUACGUUCAAAACAGCAGGAUUAUGGGACAAACCAUAGGAGAGCGACUCCAACUAAAUAGCCCGACGAGCGAUCCGAAUAGGUAACUCCUUGUGGAGGAAUUGAGCAGAAAUGAGCAAAUUUCGAUCGAUGGGUCGGGACCUAAAUUUCAUCAUGUAAUAGACGCUAACACCCAUCUGUUUCAUGGCACCCCAUUUCUGCACUUCCUGUAUUAGCCACUUGGAGAUUCCCUCCGCCGCCUUCUCAGCCGCCAUGAAACCAACCUCCAAUUGAAUUUUAUAUUCACCGGUGCACAAACAAGGAGUGAAUUGGAGGAUAUGUACAAUGGCUAAAUUGACAUGCUAGCAUUACAUAUGCAUGCACAAAAUAGUCAAUUAUUGUUUCUGUAAAUGUAGUUGUUAAAACACACGGAGGCAACCUUCAGAAGAGAGGGGGCAUAUGUUACAACCCAAUUUAUCUAGUCAAAAAUCAAGAGUUGAGUUUUCAAAGUCAAAGUUAAAUAGGACCUUAAUGGAGUGAAUUGUUUUAUUGGGGUUAUUUUACAAAUUGACAAUCCUUGAGGAUUUAACAUGGACAUCAUUUAAAUUUGAGGAUUUAUUUUACAAGAAUGGAAAGUUAAUGACUAGACUUUAUUUAAAACAUAAAAGGAGGGACUUGACUUGCAAUUAUUCAAUAAUUAUCCAUUAAAUAUCAUCUAUAUUACUCAUUUUCUCAUAUUUUGGGGGAAAAUGAGAGAAGGCUCGAGAGAACCUGAGAGAGAAGAAAAAAGAAGGGAAGAAAGAAGAUGAAGAAGAAGAAGAAGACGACAAAGAAGAAAGAAGAUUAUUUCAAGCUAGGGUUUUCAAGUUCUUCAAUUUCUCUUUGAUUUAGCAUGGUAUGUAUAAAGUAUAUUGUUUAAGGGAUAUGGACAAUUUGCUUUAAUUCAAUGUUUAGCAAGAAAUAUGUGUUAUUGAUAUGUAUUUGAUGUUAUAAAUAAAGAUAUAGCAAAGAAAUGUUUAUUUGGAUAUUGAUGUUGAAAAAGGUGGAAACUUUGGAAAUGGGUUUGUGAGAUAAAUGCAUAUUCUUUGAAAUUCUUGUGAUUAUAUGAUGCUAAACACUUAGAUUAAGGAUUUGAGGUUGAAAUUCUCCAAAUUUUCAGCCAUUUUCGAGCUAUUGUAGUAUACCAGAAAAGUGCUAUUUCUGUCCGUGUUUUCGAUGAUAGAUUUUAAUAUAUAGACAUUGGUGCUAGUUUCAAUAUUCUGGAAUUAUAGUGCUAGUUUUGCCAAUCAUAUAAUUUUGGUGGAUUUUUAGUAUUGGAACCAAAUUAAGUAUUGAAUAUUUGGGGUUUUGGUGUUAAAAUAAUUUAUAUGAAGGAGUACAUGUAGUGAUCUUAAUUGGGAUUAUGAAGUUGAAAAUAAAAUAUAUCAAGUCCCCAUUGGUAAAUUAAUAUUUCUAAUGGUAGGAAAAUACUCAAGACUCCUCUAUGAAGGGAUAUAAUUUAUUGUAGCGAGAGCGAGAUAACAUUCUUGGUAUUGAAAGUGAGAAGGCGAUGAGAAGAUCGAAACAAUGAUCAACUAUAACUUGGUGAAUGGAUAUAAAACUUAUUUUUUAGAAAUUAAUUAUUUAUUAAAUUUACAUUAGAUUAGAAAAUUUAUUAUUUCAGACAGUUGAUUUGACCACGUGAUUUUUAGAAUGAAAUGGAUUUAUAAUCAGUUACUUUUAAAGUUAAAAUCAGUUUAAUUAAAUCAUUUCACUACCAUGUUUUAUUCGAACUACAUGUUUCAGUAUAGUCAAAGUUAUUUUUUAAAAACCACCAGAAUGUACCCAGGUGAUUUUACUCGCUUUACAUUGGUGUGAAUAUGUUUCCAUAGUGCAUGAUCAGUUAUGGUGAUUUUACCCACUCUACACUAUUGUGAAUGUGUUUCCAUAGUGUUUGACCAAAAUUACAGAAUUUCAGCUCUGCGUGUGUAUGACCAGAAUUUAAGAAUUAUAGAUUUCAGAACUAAAUAGUUUUACCAUGUAUAUCAGUACUAACCGAUACAUGAGUAAGGUUAUUCCGGGUACCUUUUUGGUGUGAUUUUUUAGUAUUUUUACAACUUAUCAGAUUUCAGAUUAUAGAAUUCGGCCUAUUCAGUUCUCAGAUUAAAACUUUCAGCUUAUAGUAUUGAGCAGCAGCAAUAUUUCAUAGAUUUUCAUGGAUGUCAUAUUAUUUAUAUUCGUUGCAUUUUACAGUUACUUAUCUAGAAGAACAAAGAAUUUUAUAAUGUUUUCAUGUUUAAUUUUAAAAGUGUUACCAGAUUUCAGAAUUUCUAGAAGUUUUAGUAGUGCAAUAAUUUUCAGAAAAUAUGUAUAAAUGAGAAAAGUUUACUUAUUUGAAAAUUAUCCACUCACUGAGCUUUAAACUCAUAUAUUUUUUCUCCUUUUUCUUUAUUGACAGAUAGCAGCCGAUUUGAGCAGCUUUAGAGCAUGUUAAAUCACCGAAUUGAGCCACGCUUCGUAGGUUGUAUGACAUCCUUUAUCAGAUUAUACAGUAUGUGUUCUUUUGGAGUACAUGUAUCUUAAAUCAAAAAAAUUCAUCAUGGGCUCAUUACAUCUUUGACAUAUUUGGUAUAUUUGAGGCUUGUUGGUUGUAAAGCAAGUAAAUAUUGAAUGGCUAGCAUUUUAUUUGAAUAGUUUGUAUUAUGAGGUACUGAGGUACCCUGUUUUAUAUUAUAGGUAUUGAAUUGUGGAAACUUGGUUAUUGUCCAGGUGGUUUUAGUUCAUAUUUUAGGGAAAACUCUGUCAAAUUUUGUUAAAAAUAUUUUUCAGUCAAGCAAGUCAAGUUGUCUUGGUGGUAGGUCCAGCAUUUAACUGGUAUCUACCAUCAGAGCACUGUACGUGUCGGAUCUACUAGGAUGAUUCGGACGGGUCG